rnacentral:rRNA from 1 species
UACGUAGGGGGCAAGCGUUGUCCGGAUUUAUUGGGCGUAAAGAGCGUGUAGGCGGCCAGACAGGUCCGUUGUGAAAACUCGAGGCUCAACCUCGAGACGCCGAUGGAAACCGUCUGGCUAGAGUCCGGAAGAGGAGAGUGGAAUUCCUGGUGUAGCGGUGGAAUGCGCAGAUAUCAGGAGGAACACCGGUGGCGAAGGCGGGUCUCUGGGCAGUAACUGACGCUGAGGAGCGAAAGCGUGGGGAGCGAACAGG